CUUCUUCUCUCUUUUCUUUCUCCUCUGUUAUGCUUCUGGGAUGAAUUUGAGAAUCAAUUUAAGAACUCUGAGAUCGAGAAGAGAGUAGAGUUAUUUAGAAUUGAGUGAUGAUGGUGGUGCUAUUUCAAGUAUUUGUUUCAUACUCUAAAGCAAGAGUAAAUCAGGAUGAAUAGAUUAGGGUUUGUUGUUUUGUUGGAGAUUAAAUGAGGUUGGUGAUAGAACCGAUCUUUUGAUGAUGGGUUUUGUUUGUUUUAGACAAGGGAGAAGAACUAGCUGUUGAUUCAAGAAUUUUAGUGAAGAACUGAAGAGCUAGAGUUUCUGCUGAUAGAAGUUAGAAUUCAAUUUGAUUAGGUUUAAGAGGAGAAUUGAAGGAUGGGUUUCCGUUAAUGGAAGACCUGGAUUGAGAUUUUGAUCUCAGGUGAAGUAGAAGCUCAUGCAACCGUAAUUGAAAUUAGGGUUUUCUCUUGUGUUUGAGAUUAAGAAGUUAAUUAGAGAAUUAAGGUUUGAUUGAACUGUAAAUCGAAGAAGUAAACAAAAUUAUUGGAUGGGUUAAAUCAAUUUAAAGAUUUGGUUUGAACUGCAGUUGGAAAGGAAGAGUUGAAGGCAACUGUUUAAGGUAAUUUCUUAUUCCUGAAUUGAGUUGGAUUAAGUUUCAUUUAUUUUGAGUUAUCGAAUUUGGAUAGUCGUUGUAUGUUGUUUGAAUUGAAGUUGAAUGAGAUGGAAAUGGGAUUUGUAUGUGUGGAUGGUAGUGUUAGUUGUAAUUCUGAUGGAGCAGCAGAUUCAGUUUGUGUUGGUGGAGGUGGUUAUGUAAUUACAGUUGGUAAUUGAAUUGUUGUGUUGAUAUAUGAGCAGAGGAUAUUGGAUCUGAAUUGGAAUUGAUGAACAAGAAAGAAAUAAUGAUUGUAUGCUCAUGAAGUUGGAGUUGCUGGAGCUUUGGUUGUGCAAGUGAAAUAGAAAUGGAGAUGAAAUUUUAAUGGUGGUGGUGUAGGCAGUGUUUGCAUUGAGAGGACCUCAGAAUGAUGUAGGAGUCGAGGGUGUUGGAGUUGGUAUGGUGGUGGAUUGGUUUUGAAUGAAGUAUCAGAUUGUAUGUAGCUGUUGAAGGUGGUAAUAGUUCUGUUGGUGCUGAGAUGGUGUUGCAGGUGAUAGUGUUGAACUAAAGUAGAUGUGAUGUUAAAUUGAUAACAACAACUGCAGGUAAUGGUUGAAGUUCUGGCGGCUGCUGUUGUGGUGUUGGAGUUGCAAGUUGACAUAAUGUUGGAAUAAGUUGAGUUAAAGUAACUUAUAGAUCAGAAGCAAUGGUUGGAGUUUGAAUAUACAAAUGGUCAAUUGGCAAGGGAUUGGCUAAUAGCUCCAGUGGAGGCUUGUUACUGCAAUUGCAGUUGGUCUAUAUUAACAACGAUCGAUUCAAAGGAUGAACCAGUGGAUCGUGGAUCUCGAGGUAGGCGAGGCUUGUCAUCAAAAGAGGUGAGACAGAACAAGAUGUACAUGUGAAGAUGAAAGCUUCGAAGAAUUAUUUAUGAUAGUUAGUUAGCUUCCGCUAUGUUUAUUUUGUGUUUGUAUUCCAUUUGUAAAUCAACUCACUAUUGAAUAUGUAUCAUUUGAGAGAAGUUCUUGUAUAUAUUUUCCAGAGUGGGGCUAGUUUUUGGGUUAA